GAUGAACGCUGGCGGCGUGCCUAACACAUGCAAGUCGAGCGAACGGACGAGAAGCUUGCUUCUCUGAUGUUAGCGGCGGACGGGUGAGUAACACGUGGAUAACCUACCUAUAAGACUGGGAUAACUUCGGGAAACCGGAGCUAAUACCGGAUAAUAUUCUGAACCGCAGGGUGCAAAGGUGAAAGACGGUCUUGCUGGCAGUUAUAGAUGGAUCCGCGCUGCAUUGGCUAGUUGGUAAGGUAACGGCUUACCAAGGCAACGAUGCAUAGCCGACCUGAUAGGGUGGUAGCCCACACUGGAACUUGGACGCGGUCCAUGCGCCUACGGUAGGCAGCAGUAGGGUAUCUUCCGCAGUGGGCGAGAACCUUGCAGAGCAACGCCGCGUGAGUGGUGGAGGUCUUCGGAUCGUGAAACUCUGUUAUUAGGUAAGAACCUAUUUGUACGUAACUGUACACUUCUUGACGGUACCUAAUCAGAAAGCCCCGGCUAACUACGUG
rnacentral:rRNA from 1 species